rnacentral:rRNA from 1 species
UACCAGCACCCCGAGUGGUCGGGACGUUUAUUGGGCCUAAAGCAUCCGUAGCCGGUUCUACAAGUCUUCCGUUAAAUCCAACUGCUUAACAGGUGGGCUGCGGAAGAUACUAUAGAGCUAGGAGGCGGGAGAGGCAAGCGGUACUCGAUGGGUAGGGGUAAAAUCCGUUGAUCCAUUGAAGACCACCAGUGGCGAAGGCGGCUUGCCAGAACGCGCUCGACGGUGAGGGAUGAAAGCUGGGGGAGCAAACGG